UAGACAGCAUUGUAGACUCAAGUCCUCUAUUACCCAAGCAACAGGUACAGUGCAGGCAGCAGCUAUGCAAUCUUCCUCCAUAUUGCGUUAAUCCUGACCUGAAGGGACCAUAUCUUGGGACAAGAAGGUAGUUCAGUCUCCAAUGAUCUGUCUUAGGUCUGCC
ensembl:misc_RNA